CGGCGGGGAGCGGCUACGGGGGCUGACGGAUGGCUGUGGCCGGGAGAGCUCCGGCAGCCCGUGUGUGCUCUCGCUCCGUGCGCCUUCCCUCCGUGCUUUCCUUUCUUCUUUUUUUUCUUCAAAAUCUCCCUGGGAAUUUUGUCUUUUACAGCGUUUUUUUUUUUUUUCUCAUUUUUUUUUUUUCCCCUUCCUCUCCUCUCGUUGCUGCCGAGGAUACGUUCUGCUUGCCAAGUUUGUAGUGCCACCUCUCAGAUUCCCCCACUCCCCGCGUUUUGGAUCUGUACAGUGCCCGUUUGUAUGUAGGCAUACCGCGGGUUUUUUUUGCCUCUUUUUCAAGAAAAUUGGAAUUCUUUGGGAAGCAAAUGGAUACAGAGGAGGACGAUGCUAAAAAUCUCCUUUUGAAUCUUUAAAAAGAGGUUUACGAAGAAAUUGCUUAAAUUCAGCCAUCAAUUUAGCUUCAUAUUAAGCACCUCGAAGUAUUUAUGAUUGCAGAGCAGGUGCAAGCGAGGAUUAGUAAUAAGGUGAAAAAUGUGCCCAAGACAGAAUGAUUCCAGUACACAGAAAUGUCACAGGAUGAGCUGCUGCUGUGUGCUGUCAUCCCUGCCAUGGACACUUAGAUAUAGAUCCUCAGUGGGACCUGGAGACGUAAAUAGCUGCCUGUGGUGGGAUUGGCCUUUGCUCUGCUGGGAUGCACUCGCAGGUGAGGGCUGUGACACCAAACCCCACAUGGGAUCCACUGGUCUGGGAGUGUGAGUGGGUGUGCUGUGCUGGGCCAGUGUCUCUGUUGUGAAACAAGGUGGCUGUCAACACAACCAAAUAGGGGGUUUAACACAGUGUGGAAGGGAUUCCUUCCUAAAACAACGGGAGAUGUUGAUGGGCUCUCUCCAAGAGGCUUAACUCGGGAUGUUUAUAAUCUUUUAGUGUGUGGCUGUGUCUGUUCUUAAACAUGAAAAGACCUUUCAGCAUUCAAAUGCCUAUUUUCCCUUUCCUUCUGAUCUGGCCUUCCUCUCUCCCACAUACCAACUUUCAUUCUCUGCUGUGCUCCUAGAAAACACGAAGGACUGGAGAAUGAUUAUUCUCAAUUAAAGAUAAAAAUUAAGCAAUGAGAACCACAUUUUGAAAAAGAAAAGAAACAGCAGAAAGAAAUCACAUCAGCAGCCCCAUAUUUUGUGUGCGCUGACGGUCUGAGUAAGUAAGAGAUGGUUGCUUACUCAAUGAUGCCCGUGUGAAACAUCAGAGCGUUGCACGCGGCUGUAGCUCGGUGUG
ensembl:lncRNA